rnacentral:rRNA from 1 species
UACAGAGGGGGCGAGCGUUGUUCGGAAUUACUGGGCGUAAAGGGCGCGUAGGCGGCCCGCUAAGUCGAACGUGAAAUCCCCAGGCUUAACCUGGGAACUGCGUCCGAUACUGGCAGGCUUGAAUCCGGGAGAGGGGUGUGGAAUUCCAGGUGUAGCGGUGAAAUGCGUAGAUAUCUGGAGGAAUACCGGUGGCGAAGGCGGCAUCCUGGACCGGCAUUGACGCUGAGGAGCGAAAGCCAGGGGAGCAAACGGG